rnacentral:misc_RNA from 1 species
GCCAAUAUGAAACCAACAGAAAUACUUGCAAAUUCUAGACUGAAGCAUGCAAUAUCAUAGCUUAUAAGCAUUUCAACUAUUUACCAAAAUCAAGCACUUUAACAGAUACAAGUUAAAAGAUUGAAAAAUAAAAUAAAAAAUUCAAGAGGUAUAGAUAAAACAAGGGGAGGUCAAUAAAAUGAAUCAAUAACAUGAUGUGUUCAUGAAGUCAGUUUGAAUAUGGACAAAUUAUUGCUCAGAUUUUUGCCUCUUUAAUGAAAAUUCCCUCUUACUUAAAGUUGUAGCAGUAUUUUGGUCAUUACUCAAUAGCAUGUAGUAUUGCAUCAACCAGCCAUUUCCGCACCACAAGUUCUAAAGAUCUAAUUCCCCCAUCAAAUACAUGUGUAGGAGCAAAUCUUAGAGAAGCCUUCAAUACCUGAAUAACAUAAUUCCCAUAUUG